rnacentral:rRNA from 1 species
GUCCACGCUGUAAACGUUGGGCGCUAGGUGUGGGGGAGGUUUCCACUUCUUCCGUGCCGCAGCUAACGCAUUAAGCGCCCCGCCUGGGGAGUACGGCCGCAAGGCUAAAACUCAAAGGAAUUGACGGGGGCCCGCACAAGCGGCGGAGCAUGCGGAUUAAUUCGAUGCAACGCGAAGAACCUUACCUGGGUUUGACAUACUCGGAAAACUGCCAGAAAUGUCAGGUCCGCAAGGGCCGAGUACAGGUGGUGCAUGGCUGUCGU